GCGACGUUAGUGUAAUGGUUAUCAUCUGCGCUUCCCAUCAUGUUUGCGCAGGAUUCGAGUUCGAUUCUCGAACGUCGCA